rnacentral:rRNA from 1 species
CCUACGGGGGGCAGCAGUGAGGAACAUUGGUCAAUGGACGAGAGUCUGAACCAGCCAAGUAGCGUGAAGGAUGACUGCCCUAUGGGUUGUAAACUUCUUUUAUAUGGGAAUAAAAUGUUCCACGUGUGGGAUUUUGUAUGUACCAUAUGAAUAAGGAUCGGCUAACUCCGUGCCAGCAGCCGCGGUAAUACGGAGGAUCCGAGCGUUAUCCGGAUUUAUUGGGUUUAAAGGGAGCGUAGGUGGAUUGUUAAGUCAGUUGUGAAAGUUUGCGGCUCAACCGUAAAAUUGCAGUUGAAACUGGCAGUCUUGAGUACAGUAGAGGUGGGCGGAAUUCGUGGUGUAGCGGUGAAAUGCUUAGAUAUCACGAAGAACUCCGAUUGCGAAGGCAGUUCACUGGACUGCAACUGACACUGAGGCUCGAAAGUGUGGGUAUCAAACAGGAUUAGAUACCCCUGUAGUC